rnacentral:rRNA from 1 species
AGGGAGAGGUGCUUGCACCUCGAACUUAGCGGCGGACGGGUGAGGAACGCGUGGGUAACCUGCCCUAUACAGGGGGAUAACACAGAGAAAUCUGUGCUAAAACCGCAUAAGCCUACAGUACCGCAUGGUACAGCAGGAAAAACUCAGGUGGUAUAGGAUGGGCCCGCGUCUGAUUAGCUAGUUGGAGAGGUAACGGCUCACCAAGGCGACGAUCAGUAGCCGGUCUGAGAGGAUGGACGGCCACAAUGGAACUGAGACACGGUCCAUACUCC